ACUUGGUGGUGAAUCCGUGGAGCCCCUGCCCCUGGGAAGUCUGGGACUGAUGGAUUCAUUGAGUUUGGAAGUUCUGGGUUACAGGAGUACUAAAGCUGAUUUGACAUUCACACUGUCUGCCACCAAUUGGGUGAGUCCCUGGGAGUGGGGGACCACCAGGGUGCCUAAGAAAGGCCAAAUAGCUCAAGUUGGAAAGAAAGCAGGUCAAAGCUUCUGUGGUGAUCGGCAGUGGGAUUAGGUUUGUAAGUGGCCCCUGCACUUGCAGCCUGGGUGAGAAAGAGAGACCCAGAUUUU
rnacentral:SRP_RNA from 1 species